rnacentral:snRNA from 1 species
GUUGCUUUGGCGGCACAUAUACCAAAAUCGGAAUGAUCCAGAGAAGACCAGCAUGGCAGCUACACAAAGAUAUUAACAAAUUUCAUGAAGCAUUUUAUAUAUUG